rnacentral:tmRNA from 1 species
GGGGGCGACUGGCUUCGACGGGUUUGGUGAAGGAAUUGCUGCGUGCCCAGGUCCGGAUCCCUGGCUAAACCGUCUGGAAAAAACCAACUGCCAACUCUGAAUUGGCGCUGGCUGCGUAAGCUGAGCUUCGGCUCGCUUCACGUGCCUCCGAUGUCCUGAGCCCGCCUGGGGCGCUGGCGUUGGAUGACAAAUCCGGGCUGGUGGGUGUCGCCGCUCCGUCGGCGCCCGCGAGAACUCAGGAGCUAGAGUCCGGGAAGGCUGGCGCAGCGCCGGCCCGGAUCGACGCCGAGAGAUGCGCCUACGCACGUAGAAGUGGUUCUGGAAGCUUACUCGGACGAGGGUUCGAUUCCCUCCGCCUCCAUUC